UGCCAAUCGCUAACACCGCUAC
rnacentral:siRNA from 1 species